UCUUUUGCCUUGCCUGGUAGGAGCCCAUCACGUACUCGAGCCAGCCGCUUCCAUGGGCGACGGAGUAGCGCCAUUGGCAGUGAGAACAUACAGGAGGAAAAGAGCAGAGACACUGCAGAGAGGAUACAGAAGGUGCUAGACAGUCCAGGAACAUUCUUUGACUUGAAGUCUGAUGGAUCAUCCAGUCCCAGCUCCCCAGAGUUCCCCAACAGGAAGAGCAAAAUGCUCAGGAGUCAGACUUCAGGAUACUGUGUGAUGCAGCCAUUAUCACGUUCUUCAUCCAGUGUAAGCAGUUGUUGUAGUGGUUUGAGAGAAAAUGAAACAUCUGAGGAAGAGGAGAAUGACAGGGAGCUGAUGUGCUCUCUUGAGGGCCCUCCAAAACAGGAUUCAGUGGUUCACAGCAUGUGGCUGGAUGACGGUGACUGCACACCCAGUACUUCCAGCUCACCAGGAAGCAGGUUGCUUCCUUCCAGCAGUGUUGCUGGCUCCAGUGGAAAAAGAAGAGACAGCAAAGCAGAUGCUCAGCACCAUAAUCCAGCUUCCAUUUUGUGCUGCGUGUGAGGUCGCUGCUGGAGGACUGUGUUGGUGCACACUGGGUGAGGAGCGCAGGUAAUGGACAUGGAGAAGCGCUGUAAGCCCAUGGUUCAGCAUGGAGGCGGGUCCCUGGGCUACCUCUGACCUCACAGAGAGAGUGCAGCAAGUACUGUACAGCUUCACAGAAAACCUUCUUCUCCAAAGGAUCUUCCAUGGCCUGUUUAAUCCGCCUAAGCUCUGACUUUCUCGCUUGCCUGCUCCCUGUCAGAGAACAUUUUGCACUGAGACACCUCUCUCUGCCUUAAUCUCUUCUCUUCUUUCAUUGUUCGGUUUCCUUUGCUCAGAUGCAGCCUAGCUUUCUUUGCACUUAUCCUCUGCUUCCUGUGGUUUCAUUAUUUUACUGAACCACUUUCUUUUGCUCAUUUUGUGACUUUCUGCCUACUCUGCACUUGCUUGUUUGCUUUCAGCCCAGCAUUACUGGGACAGGCUAUAAACAAUGUAAGGAAAAUCCUGAGUUUGAAUUUUCCUUAUCUCUGUACUCUUUAAGUACUAUUUUAGUACCUAUGGCGUUGAGCAUUUCGUUUCUGCUGAUUUCAGGUAGGUCUAAGGGCCUUUAAAAUCAUGCUGGGAAAUACAUAGUAGUUUGUAAGAUCCAUCUCAUUUGAUCCAUCUGCAAAAUCAACAACGUUCUGUCACAAAGGCUGGGGUUUUUUUUUUCAGUCAACCCUGGGUUCCACCAUGAAAUUAUUUCAAGAUGUUCCUUGCAUUCUUCCCACCUUCCUACCAGAGUUCGUUACCUCCCCAAAAAUAUAUUUCACCCAUUUCUGAGAUGGAAUUGCUUCUGGCAGUGGCCCUGGGCCAACACGGUGAUUUGGCCUAAAGUAAUGUUUCAGUCCUUCCAUUUUUAUCACAACCUCAGAAUCAGCUUGAUAGCACAGGUUGGGGACUAGAAAUUUCAAGGGGGGAAAUGGUAAAUUUCUUUAAUGUGGCUUCAAGGGACUCAAAGAAACCUGUGACAUCCACCUACAUAACUUCCUUAUCAUUCUAACUAACUCCUAAAGAAAUGUAGCCUCUUGUAUCUCACAAACAUCUCCUUGAAUUCCAGGCAGGAUUUGCCCAAAGACUAAUGGGUGUACUGGUGGAAAGGAGGAAAGAGUUCUCAAAUGAUAGCAUAUUUCCUGAAGAGCUGAAAGAUGUGCAAGAAGGAAAAAUUGUGGAUGGGGGAACAAAUGAUACUACCACAACGCUUACAGGUGUAAGAACAUGAAGGGUACAGAUUUCUUUUUUCUGAUGCUUUGUUCCAAGCUUUGCUGUUUAAGUGAACAAAUAUGAAUAUGCUUUACUUAAAUUUCAGAAAGCAACAAAAAAUGGAAUUCCAGCUGCUACUAGUUCUUCUGCUUCCUUCAGUGGUGUGUCAGAGACAGCCAGGAAUCACUGAGAAAUCAAUAUUAAAGUGUGUUAUUCCAAUUCGGCCAAUAUAGGGCCAGGUUCAAAUUAUUUCAGUGUGAAAUUUCUUAAAUUUUACUGGAUGCCUAUCUUUCUCUCUGCAGACUAUAUGAUGGGAAGUCAUAUAUAGCCAUAUCCAAACCACGUUUGGAUAGACAGCAAUUAGACCACCCUUGAGGAAGCGAAACACAGUCUGGUUCAGUUACCAGCUAAAUUCACAUGGUAUUUACCACUGUCCUCCAAAGACAUUACUAUAAAAAUAGCAUUAAUUUAAAACCCUGCAGGGUCUGGGGGUGGUUCCCAAGAAAGCAUUUGUAUGAUGGUCUUCUCAAACGUCAGUCACCGCAGAGCAAGGUAUAUAAAAUACUGUCCAGGAGGGGCACAGUUCCUUCUGAAACACUUGACUGGUUCCCUAGAUUUUUCUUUGGGCUUGAAUUGUUCCUCUGGCUUCCACUCUUCUCUCUUGUGUCUCCUUAACUGCCAUGCUGCAGAGUAAAAGGCAAGUGUGAAUACCUUGUCCUGUGCUUCUAGUGUCUAUGUAGUACCUUGGACUUAAAAUAAAAGGAGAAUGUGGCCAA
rnacentral:lncRNA from 1 species